ACCCCUGUAGCCCAACGGAAGAGGCAGCGCGCUCAGAACGCGUCCAGUGCAGGUUCGAAUCCUGCCAGGGGUA
rnacentral:tRNA from 2 species